rnacentral:lncRNA from 12 species
AUGGGCUCUAAAAAGAUCCAUCACGCCGGGCAGCUUUCCCCGAGGCAGAAAACAAUAGACGUGAACUUCGCGCUGAACAAGCCGCGGGAUCGGCGCCCGCGCGUCCGUCUUUCCUGUCUGCGGAGGGCCUGUGCCUCCAGUUCCAACCCCCAGAACCUUCGUGAAAAGGUUCAUCUGACCUCCACACUCGGCCCGCAAGGAGGUCCCCCCCCCACCGCACCCCCCGCUUUCCUUGCGGAGUUGACCCGAGGGGAUGCGGGGAGGUGUGGAUGGGAUGAAAGGGGAGGCGCUGGCCUGGACCCCCUCUCCCCAGCCCGCAAAGGGAGCGCAAAAUCUGGGGUGAGGCCCCCAGCCAACGGCCCGCGGGAGCCCGCCCCGUGUCUGGCCCGGCGGCGGCGAGGGCGAGGGCGAGGGCGCGCGGGGCGCACGGGGGCAGGCGGGGCGCGCCCCGCUGGAGGCUGCAGGCUCCGGGCCUGGGCAGCGGCUGGAGCGGGGAGGCUGGGACAGGCAGCCGGGGAGAAGAUCUCGGGGAGCCCCGAAGCCACCCACUCGCAGUAGUUGGGAGAGGCUCUGCAGUCCGACCAUGCUUUAAAGAACAUCUCUGGGAGACAAAAAUAGCUCCAGUUGUGAGAGGCCUACACACCGAGAAGGCAUCUGAGAUGCAAGUCAGCAAGUGCGAGCCGCGAACAUGAGUGUCUGGCCCGGGGUGGAUGCUCCUCGCUGUCUGGGUGCUGAUUCUCUGCCAGGGCCCG